rnacentral:rRNA from 1 species
UACAGGGGGUGCAAACGUUGCUCGGAAUCAUUGGGCGUAAAGCGCACGUAGGCGGUUCGUUAUGCAGGAUGUGAAAGCCCUUGGCUUAACCGAGGAAGUGCAUCCGAAACUGGCGAGCUAGAGUACGAAAGAGGAUCGCGGAAUUCCCGGUGUAGAGGUGAAAUUCGUAGAUAUCGGGAGGAACACCGGUGGCGAAGGCGGCGAUCUGGGUCGAUACUGACGCUGAGGUGCGAAAGCGUGGGGAGCAAACAGG